rnacentral:rRNA from 1 species
UACGGAGGGGGCUAGCGUUGUUCGGAAUUACUGGGCGUAAAGGGCGCGUAGGCGGCUUAUCAAGUCAGGCGUGAAAUUCCCGGGCUCAACCUGGGGGCUGCGCUUGAUACUGAUGAGCUUGAAUGCGGGAGAGGAUAGUGGAAUUCCCAGUGUAGAGGUGAAAUUCGUAGAUAUUGGGAAGAACACCGGUGGCGAAGGCGGCUAUCUGGCCCGUAAUUGACGCUGAGGAGCGAAAGCCAAGGGAGCAAACGGG